rnacentral:rRNA from 1 species
UUAGUUAGUUGGCGGAGUAACAGCCCACCAAGACGAUGAUCAGUAGCUGGUCUGAGAGGACGGACAGCCACACUGGAACUGAGACACGGUCCAGACUCCUACGGGAGGCAGCAGUGAGGAAUUUUGCUCAAUGGGCGCAAGCCUGAAGCAGCGACGCCGCGUGAAUGAUGAAGUCUUUCGGGAUGUAAAGUUCUGUCAACAGGGACAAUGAUGAUGGUACCUGUGGAGGAAGCACCGGCAAACUAUGUGCCAGCAGCCGCGGUAAUACAUAGGGUGCAAGCGUUAUCCGGAUUUACUGGGCGUAAAGCGUAUGUAGGUGGUAUUUUAAGUCAAACUUCAAAUCCCGGGGCUCAACCUCGGUUCGGGUUUGAUACUGGAAUACUUGAGUUUGGGAGAGGAAAGCGGAACUAACAGUGUAGCGGUGAAAUGCGUAGAUAUUGUUAGGAACACCCGUGGCGAAGGCGGCUUUCUGGACCAACACUGACACUGAGAUACGAAAGCGUGGGGAGCAAACAGGAUUAGAUACCCUGGUAGUCCACGCUGUAAACGAUGUACAUUAGGUAUAGGGGGUAUCGACUCCCCCUGUGCCGAAGCUAACGCGUUAAAUGUACCGCCUGGGGAGUACGGUCGCAAGAUUAAAACUCAAAGGAAUUGACGGGGGCCCGCACAAGCAGUGGAUCAUGUGGUUUAAUUCGACGAUACCCGAAAAACCUUACCAGAACUUGACAUCUGGGGAAUUCUGUAGAAGUACGGAAGUGCCCGCAAGGGAACCUCAAGACAGGUGGUGCAUGGUUGUCGUCAGAUCGUGUCGUGAGAUGUUAGGUUAAGUCCUGCAACGAGCGCAACCCUCGUAUUGUGUUGCUACAUUUAGUUGAGCACUCUCAAUAGACUGCCCGUGGUAAACGGGAGGAAGGUGGGGAUGACGUCAAAUCAUCAUGCCCUUUAUGUUCUGGGCUACACACAUGAUACAAUGGCAAGUACAAAGGGAUGCCAAGCCGCAAGGCGGAGCAAAUCUCAAAAAACUUGCCCCAGUUCAGAUUGCAGGCUGCAACUCGCCUGCAUGAAGAUGGA